GACAGAGGCCCCGAGCGUUAGGCGGAAUCACUGGGCUUAAAGCGUGUGUAGGCGGACCGGUAAGUACCUUGUGAAAUCCCACGGCUCACCCGUGGAACUGCUGGGUAUACUGCCGGUCUUGGGCCAUUUAGGGGCAACUGGAACAAGCGGUGGAGCGGUGAAAUGCGUAGAUAUCGCUUGGAACGCCGACGGUGAAAACAAGGUUGCUGGGAAUGGUGCCGACGCUGAGA
rnacentral:rRNA from 1 species